rnacentral:rRNA from 1 species
UUGAACGCUGGCGGCAUGCUAACACAUGCAAGUCGAGCGGCUAGCAGGAUUAGUAGCAAUACUAAUUGAUGGACGAGGGACGGACGGGUGCGGAACGCGUAGGAAUCUACCCUAAAGAGGGGGAUAACCCGAGGAAACUCUGGCUAAUACCGCAUAAUCUCUGAGGAGCUAAAGCUACCGUAGUAAGAGCUGGCACUUGAGGAGGAGCCUGCGUCCGAUUAGCUAGUUGGUGAGGGUAAGAGCCUCACCAAGGCGAUGAUCGGUAACUGGUCUGAGAGGAUGAUCAGUCACACUGGGACUGAGACACGGCCCAGACUCCUACGGGAGGCAGCAGUGGGGAAUAUUGGACAAUGGGGGCAACCCUGAUCCAGCGAUGCCGCGUGAUGUGAAGAAGGCCUUCGGGUUGUAAAGCUCUUUAGGUUGGGAAGAAGUCAUAUUAGGUUAAGAGAUAAGUAUGAUUGACGGUACCGACAGAAUAAGCACCGGCUAACUCUGUGCCAGCAGCCGCGGUAAUACAGAGGGUGCAAGCGUUAAUCGGAAUUACUGGGCGUAAAGGGCGCGUAGGCGGUCUGUUAAGUGAGAUGUGAAAGCCCUGGGCUUAACCUAGGAAGUGCAUCUGAAACUGGCCUGAACUAGAGUACUGUAGAGGGUAGGGGAAUUUCCGGUGUAGCGGUGAAAUGCGUAGAGAUCGGAAGGAACAGUCAAUGGCGAAGGCAGCUACCUGGACAUAAUACUGACGCUGAGGCGCGAGAAGCGUGGGGAGCGAACAGGAUUAGAUACCCUGGUAGUCCACGCCUGUAAACGAUGAGGACUAAAUGUUGGUAGGGCUUGACCCUCUAGGUAUCGAAGCUAACGCGAUAAGUUCUCCGCCUGGGAAGUACGACCGCAAGGUUAGAAGCUCAAAUGAAUUGACGGGGGCCCGCACAAGCGGUGGAGCAUGUGGUUUAAUUCGAUGCAACGCGAAGAACCUUACCUACCCUUGACAUCCUAGGAAUCCUGCAUGAGAGUGCCGGAGUGCCGCAAGGAGCGCUAGAGACAGGUGCUGCAUGGCUGUCGUCAGCUCGUGUUGUGAGAUGUUGGGUUAAGUCCCGUAACGAGCGCAACCCUUAGUCCUUAGUUGCCAUCCUUAGUGGCGGGACUCUAAGGAGACUGCUGGUGAGGAACCGGAGGAAGGCGGGGACGAUGUCAAGUCAUCAUGGCCUUUAUGGGUAGGGCUACACACGUGCUACAAUGGGCGGUACAGAGGGUAGCCGAACUCGCAGAGGGGAGCCAAUCUCAUAAAGCCGAUCGUAGUCCGGAUUGGAGUCUGCAACUCGACUCCAUGAAGUCGGAAUCGCUAGUAAUCGCGAAUCAGAACGUCGCGGUGAAUACGUUCCCGGGCCUUGUACACACCGCCCGUCACGUCAUGGGAGUGGGAUGGUACCAGAAGUAGGUAGUUUAACCGCUAAGGGAAGACGCUUACCACGGUAUGAUUCAUGACUGGGAUG